ACCCACUCAAUGCUACGAGAAGCCCAAGCCCUGUGGAGAGACCAUGGAAGUGGCUUGGGUCAAUAGUCCCAGCAGAGCUGAGCCUUCAAGUCUUCCUAGCCCAGGCACCAGAGAUGGGAGAGAGGAACUCUCCAGGGAGAAAAAGUAAACAUAGACAGGUCGUCAGCCAGGGUUCAUCGGGAGGCUGCGGUUUUCCCAGCUGUGGAGUGGCCACCUCCUCCCAGCCUCCCUGAGUCAGCCAUGGACUCCAGCGGGGACACACUGUGGGAAACGUCGUGGGAAAACAGCAAACCCAGGGAGCGAAAGAAAAUAAAGACCAGCAGUGACCCCUCCACUCAGAGAGACCUGUGGACACCAUUUGCGGCGUUUAUCCAGCAGUUUUUUCUUUCUACCGGUGAUAACACAGCCUGCAUCGCGAAUCCAGGAGAAAAGGAUGGUCUUCCCAGGAAAUGGUGCCAGAAUAACUCGCUAUUCAUAUGGAAGAAAAUGAAAAUGAUUCCGUAUGUCAUCCCACACAUUAAAAAUCCAUUCCAGAUGGAUUAAGGAUUUAAAUAUAAAUGGGAUGCCCGGAAGAAGCCUUGCAUCUGGAUAUCAGCCACAGACACGGAGAUACUCAAAGAAGCAUUGUGCACCUGGAGAGAAACCAGAUCGCCAUUAACAAUCGAACAUAGAAACAUUGGCUGGGGGCGGUGGCUCACGCCUGUAAUUCCAGCACUUUGGGAAGCCGAGGCCGGGCGGAUCACUUGAA
rnacentral:lncRNA from 1 species